CUCCCACCACACAUUCAUCCUCCUCCCUCGACUCCUCUGCUUCCUCCUUAAGCCACCACACAACCAGAACCACCAGUACAUCUAUCUAGUAGCCGGACACCCAAGGUUCUCAUGCAUUGACUGGCUAUCACAUGAUCGAUGCCAAUGGCCAUGCCUGUGGCUGCUGCCUACCACUCGUGCACAAUGUCAAGCUCAAGAUUGCUGGUUCGGUCUGGCCUUCUCUUCUCUCUCUUGGGCGUAGAUGGCUGUACUAGACGUUGAACCGGAGAUGUGGGCAGGAAAACGCUGGCCAAGCAACACCGCAAAAACAUAGAUAGAUACUGGGCAAGAUAUCAAGUGGCGUAGAUGGAUGUACUAGAUGUUGAACUGGAGAUGCGGGAAGGAAAACGCCGGCCAAGCAACAGUGAAAAAACAUAGAUAGAUACAGGAAAGAUAUCAAAGAAUGUAUUGCCGAGUAUAAUGGGCCAGCCACUAUGCAUUUUAUUCUCAUGGUUCAUAAUAGAAAAGCUUUACGGGGAAAUUAUAUAUGCAAGAACAAUAUUUGAUCAUGCAUGCUCUCUUUCAACCGGUCAUGGUAACACAUAUGUUUACUGUUGCGACAUCAACAUGUUUUAAAGUUGUAGCAGUGUGGUGGUGUCUUUUCCGCACCAAUAUACGGAUAGUCGAUCCAAUAGGCCAUAAAUUCCGCAUUCUUGUCGGUUUCAAACCUCACUCAACAUCCAAUGGGCCAUGCAAUUUUCCUGCUUUCUCUCCUUUCUUUUUCUCCAUUUGUUUACUGAAUGAAAAAAUGUGCUGGUGGACCUACUUUUAAUAACUGAAGAAAGAACACUAACAGUACAAGGGCGUUGGUACUUGGUACUAACAGUUCGGUCACGAGAAAUUUGAGAAGAUCCUCAUGGAUUUAAUUAGAAUGAUAUUGGAUGCUAAAAAGAGAGUGCAGGAGGCUGCCUGAUUUUAUUUGCAACGUUGAAGAGGUUAUUUACCUAUUUCCGAAUUUCUUUC